CCUACGGGAGGCAGCAGUGGGGAAUAUUGCACAAUGGGGGAAACCCUGAUGCAGCGACGCCGCGUGAGUGAAGAAGUAUCUCGGUACGUAAAGCUCUAUCAGCAGGGAAGAAAAUGACGGUACCUGACUAAGAAGCCCCGGCUAACUACGUGCCAGCAGCCGCGGUAAUACGUAGGGGGCAAGCGUUAUCCGGAUUUACUGGGUGUAAAGGGAGCGUAGACGGCAGCACAAGUCUGGAGUGAAAUCCCGGGGCUUAACCCCGGAACUGCUUUGGAAACUGUGAAGCUGGAGUGCAGGAGAGGUAAGCGGAAUUCCUGGUGUAGCGGUGAAAUGCGUAGAUAUCAGGAGGAACACCGGCGGCGAAGGCGGCUUACUGGACUGUAACUGACGUUGAGGCUCGAAGGCGUGGGGAGCAAACAGGAUUAGAUACCCCAGUAGUC
rnacentral:rRNA from 1 species